AGAGUUUGAUCCUGGCUCAGGAUCAACGCUGGCGGCGUGCCUAACACAUGCAAGUCGAACGUCCUCCGGCCGCAAGGUCGGAGGGAGUGGCGGACGGGUGAGUAACACAUGGGAACCUACCUUCCAGUGAGGAAUACCGGCGAGAAAUCGCCGACAAGACCGCAUGGGCUUCUCCCUUUGGGGGAAGCAAAGUUUCUUCGCGAGAGGAGACGCUGGAAGAUGGGCCUGUGGCCGAUUAGCUAGCUGGUGGGGUAAGAGCCUACCAGGGCCAUGAUCGGUAGCUGGUCUGAGAGGACGAGCAGCCACACUGGGAUUGAGAACGGCCCAGACUCCUACGGGGGGCAGCAGUGAGGAAUUUUCCGCAAUGGGCGCAAGCCUGACGGAGCAACGCCGCGUGCAGGAAGACGGCCUUCGGGUUGUAAACUGCUUUACUGGGGGACGAGCAAGGACGGUACCCCAGCAAUCAGCCCCGGCUAACUACGUGCCAGCAGCCGCGGUAAUACGUAGGGGGCGAGCGUUGUCCGGAGU
rnacentral:rRNA from 1 species